CCUACGGGAGACAGCAGUGAGGAAUAUUGGUCAAUGGACGCGAGUCUGAACCAGCCAAGUAGCGUGAAGGAUGACUGCCCUAUGGGUUGUAAACUUCUUUUAUAUGGGAAUAAAACGUUCCACGUGUGGGAUUUUGUAUGUACCAUAUGACUAAGGAUCGGCUAACUCCGUGCCAGCAGCCGCGGUAAUACGGAGGAUCCGAGCGUUAUCCGGAUUUAUUGGGUUUAAAGGGAGCGUAGGUGGAUUGUUAAGUCAGUUGUGAAAGUUUGCGGCUCAACCGUAAAAUUGCAGUUGAAACUGGCAGUCUUGAGUACAGUAGAGGUGGGCGGAAUUCGUGGUGUAGCGGUGAAAUGCUUAGAUAUCACGAAGAACUCCGAUUGCGAAGGCAGUUCACUGGACUGCAACUGACACUGAGGCUCGAAAGUGUGGGUAUCAAACAGGAUUAGAUACCCCUGUAGUC
rnacentral:rRNA from 1 species